AUGACAUUGAAUUUUUCUCAAUUUGGCUGCGAAGAUGAGCAAUUGAGUGAUGUGAGGAUUUUGAAUUUCAUUUGUUAUUAAUGCAUAUAUAAUUUGACCAGAGAGCAAAACAACUUGGACGAGAGAGAGUCCAAAAGCUAGCUAAUGGCAGUGGCGUUGUGUCAUGAAGAUUGAAGACAGUCAAUUACUGGGACCUGCACUUCAAGCAUAGGAUUGAUGGCAAGCCUCAGCAACCGUAUAUAUAUACAUGCAAGGAAAAUUGUUGGACCAACUUCUUCGGAAACAAGGUUGUUAGUCGAUCUCUCAUUUUCAGCUGCCCUUUUGGUAAAGGAAACAUGAUGAAGAACGGAAAGUUGGCAGGAUAAGACAUAAGAGGAUGAACCGAUGAAGGGCAAUGUUUGGUGCAAGAGUGGAUUCAGAAGACAUCAACGUCAAACCUAGAGAUAUUUCUGAAGGCAGCAAAAUUUAUACUCUCUAGCCUCCAAUGGUUGACUGCCAGAUGACUCAGUUUCUGUGAAAGAGGAGGAAUUAUAACGAACCGGGAAAACGGAAACCAGACUUUUGAUAUACAUAAAGUUAUGCAAGAUGUGAGUACGUUAUUUCUCUAACGGAGUGUUCACGAUGUUUAAAUAUGGCCCAUCAGAAGUUGAUUGCAACCGCAAGAGUCAAAGUGCAUGCUGUGUGAGUAUUUUUUGGAGUGGGUCAUUCGGGUAAUUCUAUAUCAAAGGGUGUGAUCAAUGCUGUUAACUGUCCAUGUAGAUGAUUGCACUUAGAUAUGUAGUUUUUCUUGGGUAAGGUGGGAAGUUUUAUGCUAUGAUGGUUUCAUAUGUCAUGCAAGUAUAUGGUAACCAUUGAAACAGCAAUUUGGUUGGGUAUUGAUGUAAUCAUUACUUGUAUUUGGUUUGGUAUCCCUGUACUUGUUAUAUAUAUGUAUAUAUAAAAGUAUUUGCUGACAAAAAACAAAAAACGGACUAAAGGGAAAGAAAAAUAAGGAAAGGAAAUUUCCUAUUGUAGAUCAAAGAGUAGGUGAAAGAAAUG